AAAGUCCCCUUCGGGGGAUAAGUAGAGUGGCGCACGGGUGAGUAACACGUAGGUAAUCUACCUUCGGGUGGGGAAUAACCCAGGGAAACUUGGGCUAAUACCGCAUAAUGCAGCGGCACCACAUGGUGACAGUUGUUAAAGCGGGGGAUCUUCGGAUCUCGCGCCUGAAGAGGAGCCUGCGGCAGAUUAGCUAGUUGGUAAGGUAACGGCUUACCAAGGCGACGAUCUGUAGCCGGCCUGAGAGGGCGGUCGGCCACACUGACACUGACAUACGGGUCAGACUCCUACGGGAGGCAGCAGUCGGGAAUUUUGGGCAAUGGGCGAAAGCCUGACCCAGCAACGCCGCGUGAAGGAUGAAAUCCCUCGGGAUGUAAACUUCGCAAGAAUGGGAAGAAUUAGUAGGGGUUAAUACCCCCUAUGAUGACGGUACCAUUUGUAAGCUCCGGCUAACUCCGUGCCAGCAGCCGCGGUAAUACGGGGGGAGCAAGCGUUGUUCGGAUUUACUGGGCGUAAAGGGCGCGUAGGCGGUCAGCACAAGUCAGUUGUGAAAUCUCCGGGCUUAACUCGGAAAGGUCAACUGAUACUGUGCGACUAGAGUGCGGAAGGGGCAACUGGAAUUCUCGGUGUAGCGGUGAAAUGCGUAGAUAUCGAGAGGAACACCUGCGGCGAAGGCGGGUUGCUGGGCCGACACUGACGCUGAUGCGCGAAAGCCAGGGGAGCGAACGGGAUUAGAUACCCCGGUAGUCCUGGCCUUAAACGAUGGAUGCUUGGUGUCUGGAGUUUUAUAGUCUCCGGGUGCCGUAGCUAACGCGUUAAGCAUCCCGCCUGGGGAGUACGGUCGCAAGACUGAAACUC
rnacentral:rRNA from 1 species